AGAUUUUGCAAUACCCUUUCCUGAAGCACGCCAUUGACAGCCUGCAGUAUGGCCUCCUGCAAAACAGAAGCGCAAAGAACCUUCGGUGACGGAAAUUGCUGAGCCUGAGCUUUGUUGCAGGAACAGAGCGACAAAUACUGAACCUGACCUUGUUCCUGAGCAUGUCAAUCUCCCUGGAGAUGAUCUGCAUCUGUUCAACAUAUGAGGGUCUGGAGCUCGACAAGAUUCAUGUGGUUUAUAUCAUUCUCUCCAUGCAUGUACCUGCAUGGAUGUGCUGAGAUCUGUCAUGAGCCCUGCAAUCGAUUCUAUAAUUUGUGAUUUGUGGAUUCUUGGUAGUUCAACAUGACCAUCAGCUGUACUGGUAAGUUGUUGAACAUAAAUAUAGCUACGAAGCUGCAUCCUCUCCAAAGUUUAUGAAGCUGGAUGGCGGUUUUGUACACGUUUUAGAAAAUAAAAGAAAUAGGAAAGUAAUGGAAGGAACAUCUUUAUUUCAAAAAAAGGACCAUCUUUAGCUACUCACAAAUUCUUCUGAAUUCACAACAGCUCUCCUGGCUACAUCUGUGAAGAGAUGUCAUGCAACUUGUGUUA